rnacentral:rRNA from 1 species
GAUGAACGCUGGCGGCAGGCUUAACACAUGCAAGUCGAGCGGGCGCAGCAAUGCGUCAGCGGCAGACGGGUGAGUAACGCGUGGGAACGUACCUUUUGGUUCGGAACAACCCAGGGAAACUUGGGCUAAUACCGGAUAAGCCCUUACGGGGAAAGAUUUAUCGCCGAAAGAUCGGCCCGCGUCUGAUUAGCUAGUUGGUGAGGUAAUGGCUCACCAAGGCGACGAUCAGUAGCUGGUCUGAGAGGAUGAUCAGCCACAUUGGGACUGAGACACGGCCCAAACUCCUACGGGAGGCAGCAGUGGGGAAUAUUGGACAAUGGGCGCAAGCCUGAUCCAGCCAUGCCGCGUGAGUGAUGAAGGCCCUAGGGUUGUAAAGCUCUUUUGUGCGGGAAGAUAAUGACGGUACCGCAAGAAUAAGCCCCGGCUAACUUCGUGCCAGCCGCCGCCGUAACAC